GUUAUUAUUUAUUUAUGGUGCGGCUGAUGCCUCGGCUAAAAAAGGUAGCAGGCUAUCAAAUGGAUGCUGAAGGUAACUAUGUUGUUAAACGGGAUCAGUUGAUUGACUUUCUCGCUGCAGUAACGGUUGAUGUAUUGCGCAACCGCCAAGAGGCGGCACCAGAGGAAGACAAACGUGAGUGGCAAAAGAAAGAUGCUGAAUAUGAUGACAUGGAGAAGCUGUGGUUUGGCCUGACGAGAGGCCCUAGAAGACUGGUGUUACCUAUAGGAAGGUUCAUGUGGUUAGUGGUUGAGGAAGCACACGCCCCGACACAUGAGAAUUAUGUGUCAAUGCUGUACAAGUUGCGCUUUUGGCGGCACCCUGAACUUCUGCAUAAGGGGCAGCAGCUGAUAUCGGCCGUGGGGGUCCUUCCCCUCAAAGGUCUUGAGAACAAUCCUGAGGACAAGACUCCUGAGAAAAGGAAUAAUACAACACCCACACAAAGCAAGCACAGCAAUGACAACCAAGGAUGGUAGUCGCCCAAGUGAGCACGAGACCUUUCCAGUUACCAAACAUCCUAUUCAGCAGGCUAUGGAAUGAGUAGUCAUCUACUCCAGACAUUGAUUUAAGACAUGGCCUGCAAACCUUUCAUGGCUCUGGUGAUCUUUCUGCUUGGUGCCGUAUUAUUGGGGAUAAUCGUGCAACAGUGACCCUUGAUUGGAGAGCAGGAGCACUUUCAGUAAGUCAGCCUGGUCAGUGAGGAGCGCUGGUGAGUGGAAGGAGGUUAAACUGCUUACAACAUACAAGGCCUUCACAAAAAAACUGAAAACGUGGCUAGUUAACACCUAU